GACGUAGGGCGCGAGCGUUAUCCGGAAUUAUUGGGCGUAAAGAGCUCGUAGGUGGUUUGUCGCGUUGUUCGUGAAAACUCACAGCUCAACUGUGGGCGUGCGGGCGAUACGGGCAGACUAGAGUACUGCAGGGGAGACUGGAAUUCCUGGUGUAGCGGUGGAAUGCGCAGAUAUCAGGAGGAACACCGGUGGCGAAGGCGGGUCUCUGGGCAGUAACUGACGCUGAGGAGCGAAAGCGUGGGGGAGCGAACAGG
rnacentral:rRNA from 1 species